rnacentral:lncRNA from 1 species
UUUUCAUCACUUGUACAUUUUUCCAUUUCCUUUGCUAGUUGUAGGUUCAUCGACCUUCUCAACUUUAGCUGCAAUGAGUGUAUAUAUGCAAGAGUGAGCAAACAAAGCUCACUUGAAUAAUAAUGAAUAAACAUCAUAUCAACUGCCAAAUGAAUAGGCUCAAUAGAAAUGAAUAAAGUACUUCAUCAAUAAUAAUCAGGAACAGAACUUGAAAUAUAUAAUUGAUGGUCAAAAGUCC